ensembl:antisense
ACAGCUGCCUUUGAAAUACCUUCCAGAAAUACAAUAUGGUGUUGAGCAAGAUCCUGAGAGGAGACUAGAGGCAUAACCCGCCACCAUGACAGGAAGCUACCCCAGCUCUACUUCAGGCUGACAUGAUUCUUCUGGUAGGGUGCAGCUCUGCUGUGGACACCUGCUAGCACUGGUGAAGCCAGGUUUCUUUCCUCCCCAGCACUAUAGAAAACCAGGCUCGAUGAAUGCCAGUAACCUACCCUCAUAGGAGUCGGCAAGGAGGAUCAGCAGAGCAAGGUUACCCACGGCUUUAGGGCAAGUUUGAGGCUAACCUGGACUACGUGAGCCCCUCUCAAAAAAAGGGAAGACAAUGCAUUACUCCAGCCCCCUUGACCCUGAGCUUCUUCAUGCCUCUUCUGGACUCUGGCCUGGUCUUUUCCUACCCAGUUCAGAAACAAAGUCACAAUGUUGUUGUUUCUUAACCAAAAAGGGUCGGAGCUUCCUGGGUGCUGCAGAGAGAACGGAAAACUCACCUCUCUGCGGUUGGAAAUGUGAGUGGCUGCAUGGUCUACGUUUCCAUCACAGGCCCGCAGGCCCAGCCGUGCUUCCUGGGCAGUGAACCCCAACUGUAACAAGUUGUGAACUUUUGAUGGAUCGAUGUAAAGCUCUUUAAAGAGCUGCCGUGCCUAUAAACAGGAAAAAGCAGAAUGCUCACCUCACAGCAACAAUAAAGCUUAGCAAGGCUAGAGCCCAAGAGUGAAGCUACCAAAUGUGAACUGUGUAUGAGACUCAGACAUGCUGAGCUUGUCUGACCUGCCCACCAUAAGGAAUGAAACAAACACUAUCUCUGCCUGCUUAACGUAUCCAUAACUUAGCACAAUAGGCAGGCUGAAUACUGUAGGCAUGCCAGAGUGAGGGACUUUCUUUCAUACAUUCCAAGCUUAGCUGGCAAUGGUGGUAUAGGCCUGUAAUCCCAGCAAUCAGGAGGCAAAGGUCGUCUGCGCUAUACAGCAAAACAGGCUGCAAAUAGCAUCUAUCUCUCUCCCUUGUAGCUGGGCUGGCUGGGUAGUUACUAGGUAACUGCAGGUAGUCUCUCUUUUUUUAAGAUUAUUUAUCGUUUAUAUAUGAAUACAUGGUCACUGUCUUCAAAUACAUCAGAAGAGGGCAUUGGAUCCCACUAUAGCUGGUUGUGAGCCAGCAUGUGGUUGCUGGGAAUUGAACUUGGGACCUUUGGAAACGCAGUCAGAGCUCUUAACGGUUGAGCCACCUCUCUAGCCCUGGCAGUCUCUUUCUAAGAUACAGGCCUGUUCUGACUCUCUAGCCCUCUCUGCUUGUGGCACAUGGACCAGCAGGAACAAUGGAAGCCAAGGCCUGCAGAGCUGUACCCUGGCCUACUCAUGCUAGAGGCAGGGCAGAAACUACCCACUUAAAGCCACUGCCAUUUUAAAGAGUCCUCAUUACAACCCCUGCCUGAGCUCCCACACAAGUGUUCAUGCUGCAUGUGAGGAAGACCGGAUGGAGGCGCAGGGCUCUGACGUAACUGUGACCAUGACUCAAAGAGUACCCCACUGCCAAGGUGCAGGCAGAGGUAGGGCAGAUCCAGCAGCCUUGCUUACCUUGUUGAGAUAUUCCCGCGCCUCCUCUCCAUUUCCACUGUGAUAGUUUCGGAUUCCCUGAAGCAAGUAGAGUCUUAAAAACAACACCUUCUCUUUCCCACAAUUUCCCUGAAGUUAAUGAGAGAAAAAGAAUAAGUGAUCUUAUUUCUAAUUAAAGAGUCACAUGGUCACUGCUGUAACUGUGCCAUGUCUCUACAACUGUAAGAGGACAAGAUAGCCCAGGCCAUCACUGCUGUCAUUGGGACAACUUCUAAGCAGUAUCUCUUCCACAUGGAAGGUAUCAGUUAAGACACUGACUCUAGCCACCACAGGCCGUGACUAAGUCACUGGUUUUCUCCUGGUCAGACUGAUUGAGAGUAGCAGUCUACAAUUAGUAAACUCCGCCUUUAAAAACCACCACAGAAGCAGCAAGACUAAACUGAGCACGGUGAUGCAUACUACAACCCCAGCACUCCAGAGGCUAAAGCAGGCGGAUUUCUGAGUUUGAGGCCAGCCUGGUCUAUAGAGUGAGUUCCAGCCAGGGCUAUACAGAGAAACCCUAUCUUGAAAAACCAAAAAAAAAAAAAAAAAAAAAAAACAGGAACAGUCUGGGCUAUAUGAGACUGUCUCAAACAAAACCAAAAAUCAAACAAAAAAACCCAAAAGACACAACAACUAACAUAACAAAACACAACAAAAACCCAGCCAGACUCUCAAAACUCUCAAAACCUGCUAAAAGCUCUGGCUAAUAAAGAGGGUAUUGUAUGCUGCUGCCCAGCUCAAUCACUUCUGGCAGUAGCUCACAUAGUGAGGCAGAUGUGCCCCAUAAGCGGGCUGAGACAACCAAUCACAGUGACGUACUUUUAUGUGGACCAGUCUCUGAUGAUUCUCUCCGUAACAGUUUUUAAAGCAUUUCUGGGCCAGGUUCAGCUUUUUCUCUGCAUCGUCAAGGCAUUCCAGCUGUUCCAGGCGGAAGUAGCACCACACAAUGUCUAGCUGGAGGACUGCAUAGUUGUCCACAGUGUCCAGCAGCUCUUUGCACUCACUACAAGAGAAGGAAGCUGUCAUGGCAGAGCCCUUCAGGGGUCCCCAGAAAGCCUUUUAGCUCUUGGGUGUGCUUCUAGGAUUAAUUAAUGGGGUCUUUAUUUACAAUAGGGAUCCUCUGAAUGGAUAAGGAGGAAUUAGGGUUCUUGACAGAAACAUGGUGGCAUCUGGCCCAGGACAUAGUGGCUUCUAGCCCUGGCUGUGAAUUACAAUCACCCAGACAAGGAGUCCUUCUUUGGGGAUACUGAUGCUGAGACCUAAUUAGGGCAACAGUAACAGAGCUCUCCACGAUAGAGGCUGCGUGUCCCAUUGCUAAACUCUCCCCAGGAAAUUCUAACAUGGCUUUUUAAAAACACCCUAAAACCUGCAACUUCCUAAAAAUGCUCCAGCUGAUGGCAGUUCUGACAAGAUACUCACUGUUCAGGGACUUUCUCAUUGGGGGACCAGUGGGGAAAACACCAGACUAAAUGCCUAGCUGACUCCUGAAGACCCAUGAGCAGGCUGAGCCAGACACAAGGAAAGCAAUGAAGACACUAUCCAGGAAUUAUUUAUGUGUUCUUUGUUAUGAUAAUACUCAAUGCAUAAUGCAGACCUAACCCUCAAAACAAAAAAGUAUCUGCAACCACAGUCCACACAGGUAUCUCCAAAGCUUUGUCCAUCUGCUUCCAAUGGGAUGCUGUUAAAUAGCUUUUUAAAUAGCUUUUUUAAAAACCUUGCCUAUCUAGACAUGUUCCUCCAAGUCUAAUGAAAUAGAUUUUGUCAUCACCCACAAGGCCGCACAUAGUCCAAUGGGGUCAAGAACACAGAGAACAAUGUUUUUGCAUGUUUCCGUCCUUACCUCUUCUAGCAUUCCUAUUAGUCUUGAGUAUCUGACAACAUACAUGCCAUGUGGCUACACACACACACACACACACACAGACACACAGACAGAGAGACAGAGACAGGGUAGAGGUUUGGGGGUGGGAUAGGCCCAGGGAAAGAGCAUCUUCAACACAGCCUGAAAACCUGACUUGAGAGGCAGAAGGCUGUAGGUAGAAAUGUGCUCUCCUAUCAAGGGAGACCCUCAUCUGCAACCUGCUGACAGGUCCGCCUUCUUAGACGGAAAGGCUGAACCACAUUAACUCCCAAGGCCUAUGAAAUACUUUUCCAACCUGCUGCACAAGCAACAAGGACAGAAAGGACCCGGAACUGAACUGUGUGUGGCCAGAACACAAAACCAAAAACAUCAAAACCCAGGCCUCCUAUUAAAAGGGUAUGUUUUAUUCUAUUACUUUCAAAAACAAAACAAACAAACAAACAAACAAAAAUCAGGCAGGGCAUGGUGGUGCACACCUUUAAUCUCAGGACUCAGAGGUAGGCAGAUCUCUGAGUUUGAGGCCAGCCUGGUCUGCCUAGAGUUUCAGAAUAACUACAACCACCAGCCAGGGCUGUCUCAAAAAAAAGAGAGGAGAGGAGAGGGGAGAGGGGAGAGGGGAAAGGAAGAAAGAAAGAAAAGAAAGAAAGAAAGAAACAAACAAACAUCUGCACACUGUAGUUUUGAAGCUGAUAGGCUAAAAUUUAAACCUGAGCAUGCCAACUGGGAAGGGAAGUUAAAACAAAAACAAAAAAUCAAAACAAAAAACCCAGCAUAGAACACCUGGGGCUACACAGCGAAACCAUUUCAAAAAACCAAAAAAAAAAAAAAAAAAGUGUAUCUCUAAUAAUUACUUGGUUUACAAUUUUAAAAGCUUUGCUAUUCAACAAAUUUUGAAACAGUUUUAAAAUGAAAGCACUAAAGUUACUCUGACUUAACACUGCUUACCAGACUUUUUCAUUUGUUGGUGUUUGUGUGUGUUUGUGUGUUUUGUAUGUGUCCAUGCAGUAGCUCUGGAGAGCAGAAGAGGGCGUUUGUUGGGGGAUGUUUCUGUGCACUGCGUUUUUAUCUGAAUGUUACUUCUGUACCUGGAGAUAUGGUUGCAGUGUAGACUCUGGUACUGCCCUUAUGAUGAAGCAUCCAUCUCCUGACUGAGUAUUUUGUAAAACAUUGCUCUCCAUUAUCUCACUGGUCAACAGGGUCAACCGGCCUAUGGCUGGACAGGAGGGAAAAGCGGAACUUCUGUCCCCAGAGAGAGAAGAGAGGAUUCAGGGGGAAUUCUGAUUGACCUGCCUGUCUGGUUCGCAAUGUCUAAGUAAGGCAUCGUUUCCGGAUCUACCACCAUCUCAGCUGCAACAGAGCCAAGGAGCCUCAUUAAUCAAGGACAAGCGGCACUGGAAAUGGCAGACUGGAGGACUGCCCAGCAGGCACACCUCUUAUCUGCGUGCUGCCUGGAUCACCUAGGGAGGUGACAAGCCAAAAGUCAUACCUCUCUCCGCCAGGAUCUCCAGUCCCCGCUUGGUCCUCUGAAUGCGUCUCUCCUUCUGCUCGGCCUCGUUCUGUUCCUCUUCCUCUAGCUGUAAGUUUUUCCUCACAUCCUCUUCAGACUGUUUCAGCUCCAGCACCAUCGCCUUCACAUUGUGAGUGACUCCUUGUUCUUCAAGGCUUUUCCCUGGGAACAGCAGAAUUGCCUGUCACACAAACUUCCUGGGCAACAGUCCAUUUCCUGUGGUAAAUGGAGUCCUUUUUUUAAUUAAAUAAUUUAUGUAUUGCGG